AGAGUUUGAUCCUGGCUCAGGAUGAACGCCGGCGGUGUGCCUAAUACAUGCAAGUCGAACGCGUUGGCCCAAUUGAUUGAUGGUGCUUGCACCUGAUUGAUUUUGGUCGCCAACGAGUGGCGGACGGGUGAGUAACACGUAGGUAACCUGCCCAGAAGCGGGGGACAACAUUUGGAAACAGAUGCUAAUACCGCAUAACAGCGUUGUUCGCAUGAACAACGCUUAAAAGAUGGCUUCUCGCUAUCACUUCUGGAUGGACCUGCGGUGCAUUAGCUUGUUGGUGGGGUAACGGCCUACCAAGGCGAUGAUGCAUAGCCGAGUUGAGAGACUGAUCGGCCUCAAUGGGACUGAGACACGGCCCAUACUCCUACGGGAGGCAGCAGUAGGGAAUCUUCCACAAUGGGCGCAAGCCUGAUGGAGCAACACCGCGUGAGUGAAGAAGGGUUUCGGCUCGUAAAGCUCUGUUGUUAAAGAAGAACACGUAUGAGAGUAACUGUUCAUACGUUGACGGUAUUUAACCAGAAAGUCACGGCUAACUACGUGCCAGCAGCCGCGGUAAUACGUAGGUGGCAAGCGUUAUCCGGAUUUAUUGGGCGUAAAGAGAGUGCAGGCGGUUUUCUAAGUCUGAUGUGAAAGCCUUCGGCUUAACCGGAGAAGUGCAUCGGAAACUGGAUAACUUGAGUGCAGAAGAGGGUAGUGGAACUCCAUGUGUAGCGGUGGAAUGCGUAAAUAUAUGGAAGAACACCAGUGGCGAAGGCGGCUACCUGGUCUGCAACUGACGCUGAGACUCGAAAGCAUGGGUAGCGAACAGGAUUAGAUACCCUGGUAGUCCAUGCCGUAAACGAUGAGUGCUAGGUGUUGGAGGGUUUCCGCCCUUCAGUGCCGGAGCUAACGCAUUAAGCACUCCGCCUGGGGAGUACGACCGCGAGGUUGAAACUCAAAGGAAUUGACGGGGGCCCGCACAAGCGGUGGAGCAUGUGGUUUAAUUCGAAGCUACGCGAAGAACCUUACCAGGUCUUGACAUCUUGCGCCAACCCUAGAGAUAGGGCGUUUCCUUCGGGAACGCAAUGACAGGUGGUGCAUGGUCGUCGUCAGCUCGUGUCGUGAGAUGUUGGGUUAAGUCCCGCAACGAGCGCAACCCUUGUUACUAGUUGCCAGCAUUAAGUUGGGCACUCUAGUGAGACUGCCGGUGACAAACCGGAGGAAGGUGGGGACGACGUCAGAUCAUCAUGCCCCUUAUGACCUGGGCUACACACGUGCUACAAUGGACGGUACAACGAGUCGCGAACUCGCGAGGGCAAGCAAAUCUCUUAAAACCGUUCUCAGUUCGGACUGCAGGCUGCAACUCGCCUGCACGAAGUCGGAAUCGCUAGUAAUCGCGGAUCAGCAUGCCGCGGUGAAUACGUUCCCGGGCCUUGUACACACCGCCCGUCACACCAUGAGAGUUUGUAACACCCAAAGUCGGUGGGGUAACCUUUUAGGAGCCAGCCGCCUAAGGUGGGACAGAUGAUUAGGGUGAAGUCGUAACAAGGUAGCCGUAGGAGAACCUGCGGCUGGAUCACCUCCUU
rnacentral:rRNA from 2 species